rnacentral:rRNA from 1 species
UACAGAGGGGGCAAGCGUUAUUCGGAAUUAUUGGGCGUAAAGGGCGCGUAGGCGGCCUGGCAAGUGGAUGGUGAAAUCCCUCGGCUUAACCGAGGAACUGCCAUCCAGACUGCUUGGCUUGAGACCGGGAGAGGUGAGUGGAAUUCCCAGUGUAGCGGUGAAAUGCGCAGAUAUCAGGAGGAACACCGGUGGCGAAGGCGGUUCUCUGGGCAUUACCUGACGCUGAGGAGCGAAAGUGUGGGGAGCGAACAGG